CUUGUCAUUCAUGCAUUAAAGAUAUUGGUAUAUAAUUUUUCUCCAUCAUAAAUCCUGCCACCGUGGAUGUCUUGAAGACAAUUGGCCAUCAACUGAUUGGAUGAGGUCCAGCCAUACUGAGGAGGAUAAUCUGCUGUUCUCUACCAAUUCAAAUGUGAAUCUCAUCUGGAAACACCUUUAUGGGUACCUACAAAUGUUUAACCAAGCAUCUGGGCACCAUGGAACCCAGUCAAGUUGACACGUAAAAUUAACCAGCGCAGAUGCUCAAGAAAAUGAAGUUAUGAACACCUUCUGAGAUC